rnacentral:lncRNA from 1 species
CAGGGUCUCAACAAACCACCAAACUCAGUUCGCUUGUGCCUUCUCUCUAAUUUACACCCUGGAUCCCUGAGAUCUGGAUCUCAGAGUUCUCAAAGCUACAGGCUACCCAAGGCUGUUGGUGGGGACACUAAAGUACAGGCCUAUUUCAACAACAACAAUGACAACAGUAUGGACAAUGACAACAUAGUGGACACGAGUCUUCAGCCUUGUAUCCCAAUGCCAAGCCUACCUCCACCCACCUUUUUCCAUGAUCCCUGUCAAGGGAAGAAGAAUUGCUAAUCUGAAUAAUGACAAUCUAAAACACUGAGUGAGUUAUGGUUACCAAAAGGCAGUAUCACUGUGUUAAACAGCCUUUCCAUUUCUUCCUAGCUCUG